AAUGUUCGUUAUGAGUCGUACCCUUUCUAUCAAUCGGAAGCUGCGAGUGUUCCUCCUGCAAAUACUGGUUCCCAAGGAAAAGGUGGAAUCUCAUCGGGGGCGGUUGUUGCUAUUGUGGUUCCAACUUCUGUGGCUGUCCUAGUAUUUAUAGUCGGCAUCUGUUGCUUGAGGAAACGAACAACGAAGAAGUACGACUCUGUUGCCGAAGGAAAAUCUGCAUUUGACAUCGGCAAUGUGGAUUCACUGCAAUAUGAUUUCAGUACAAUUGAAGCAGCCACGAACAAGUUCUCUGUAGUUAACAAGAUUGGUGAAGGCGG